rnacentral:lncRNA from 1 species
UUUUUUUUUUUUGUAUCAUUGGACUUUAUGGUUCUCAGCUACAGUGUUUCACUCUAUCUUACACAAAUUUUAUUAUGUCUUUAGGUAUUUGUGCAGAUAUUGCAGUAUCCAAGUACGAACAUUGGUCUUCCUUAGCUCCUCUACCAUUUGAGGUCGUUGUAUCUGCCGGACAAAAAGCCAAGGAGGAAUCAUGGGAAAAAGGUGAGUAACUAUCUUGUGCUUUCAGUUGGCUUAUGUUUUUCUGGUUUUCAGUAGUGAUAGGAGUAGUUUACCAGGGUUUAAUACUACUUUAAUUGAAACAGGUGAUGAUGAUCCUGACAAAAGAAACAAACUUGUUCAGGACUUGAAUGAUUUAACUGGAGAAGGAAACAUUGAGAGUAUGCUUGCAGUUGAGAUGGGAUUGAAGGAGCUUGCUUUCCUGAAGGUAAUACAUUGCUCUCCUUUCAUUUAUAUAUUGUUCUCUCUUUGCAGUUUCCCAAAUAAAACAUCAGGCAUUAACAAUAUCAUGUGUCUUUACAUUGCUGUUAUGUUCUCUUUUGGUAAUGUAGUGCCUUGUUGUUAAUAUGUGUCAUGGUUAAUAUAAUGAAGGUCGAGGAGAAUAUUGUGCUUGCAUUAGCCGAACAGCGACGAUCAAACUCUGCUCGGCUAUCCUUCUCGGGUAUGCAUUCUACUUCUACCUCUUGGGCAUGUGUGGUUCAAUAUUCUAAUGAUUGCUAGCCAAUCCAACUGUCCUGAUACAUAACUGAUAUUUUCAGAUAUGAAAUCACCAUCCGAUCCAAAGUUUAUGGAGGCAAUUGGUAUGUCUUUCUUAUUCCUCUAUAUCAAACGUACUGUAUUCCGAUAACAAAGAAAUGAACAUAAGAAUCUGUGUAGUUCAUUCUAGAACAACAAUUAAUAACCAUGCAUCAGCAUGCAAUAAAUUUACCUCGACAGAAUGUGCAUUUAUGGAAAGAUCAUGUGCUGACUGUUGUUAAUGUGCCAUGAUGCAAUUCUAAGCACUAAUUUCUCCACUGUGUGAUAAUGACCUGAAUGUGUUCAAUUGUUUUGUUGCAGAGUUGAGUCCAGAGGAGUCUGAAGAUGUUCUAUUCAAGGAGGUAUGAAAUUUCAUUUGAGCUGAAUUUGUAUCUCAUUCAGUUAAUAACAUACCUGUGUAUACAAUUAAAUCUGCCCUAUAAUUGCAAUAAGUAUGACUUUCAUGGUUGAAAGAACAUUUUGUUUCAGGUGAGUCCUUUGUCCUAAUUGGGUCUUAUAAAUGAGCUUGAUUUCAUCAGCCUUUGCCGUACACUGUUUAAGCACUAUAUUGACCAUAUUCUUUUUCCAUACAUGUCACUUCAUAACAUGGCUCCUCUAAUAGAAUAAAGCUAACUAUUUCAAGCCGUACAGUGUGGUUCAAAGUCUCUCGUCAUAACAUGGUUUAAAGUCACUAGUCCUUUAAUAAUGUUUUAAGUCACGAACAUCCUAGUUCACAUACUUCUUAUGAUCUAUUUUCCACAUUGAAUUUCUGCAAUGGAAUUUCUUAUAACAUUCAGCUUUAACAGGCUUGGCUUACUUACUUUUGGAGAAGAGCCAAAGUUCUUGGAAUAGAGGAGAACAUUGCCAAAGAAAGAGUUCAGUUUUGGAUUAACCGCAGUGGGCAUGCACCAUCUUCACAUGAUGCUGUUGAUGGUAAUAUUACUAAUAUAUAUCCUAGUGUCAUAUGCUUAACUUCCCUGUUUAGUAAUGCUCAACUCCCCAACUCCCUCUUUGGGGCCUUUUCACUGGUUGUGCAUGCUCAGUCAAUCAGUUGUUUGUCCCGUCCUUGAAAUGUCACUGAUUCAAUCUUUAAGAUAGUCUCAGCAGAAUAGCUUCACUGAUUUUCACUAGUCAUCACAAAAAUUCAUGCUCUAUAUUUUUAGUUCUGAUUGGAUUCUUGCUUCCGUGUGUUGACAGUUGAGGAAGGGCUUAUGGAACUCAGGAAACUGGGGAUUGAGCACAGGCUUUGGGAAGAAUCGCGCAAGACAAUUGACCAAGACUCUUCCACGGUAAAAGCGGCUUCAUAGUUAAGAUCCAUUGGUACACAUGAAAACUGGAGUUCUUUUUUUUUCUUUCUUUCUUUUUAUACAUCUUUUUCCACUCACUGAGGCCUGAUGGUACCUUUUCGGUCAUUAAUUUGUGCCUUCAAAGGGCAUCUGUAAGUCCUUAUUACAAAUGUAUAUAAUGUAUUCAAAUAUACCAAUUUUGUGUGACUUCCACUCUAAUUGUACCAUUUACAAUCUACAAGGUUAAUUAUCAUUAAUGUGGCAUUGAACUAGUUUGAAACAGCAUAACCACCGAAGACUCAUUUCUAAUACUUAACCACCGAAAGUCUGAAACAAUAACUUGGUGUAUAACUGUAUUGUCUGUAUAUUGCUGGUCCGUGUGGUUUGUUGGCCUUAAGCAACUCUCUAGGUCUCUUCAGUUCGACUAGCAUAAAGAGGUUUAACCGGGUGUAUUUUUUUUUUAUGAAUAAAUGUAACGUCAAGAAAGAGGAAAUACUCUAAUCCGAAACCACAGAACAAAAGCUUUUGGUAACAUGAAAGACAAAGCUAAAGGGGAUAUACAAAUCUAUGCUUCAAUAAACAUUUAUUCAAAUAUAUCCAAGUUAAUUAGUUCGAACCUGAAGGUCUUCGUCUUGGCGUCGAGCUCCUUGCCCACAUUAACCACCUCCAGGGUCUCGCGUGUAUGGUUGUCAAGGACUGGGUGCUCUUACAAACUCAAUUGGCGUAAUAUUAACCAUGUAAAUCAGACAGAUCAUAUUAGGUGCUAUGCGUUCCUCACGGAUGAUGCGAUUUUCCAUUACCCCGUAAACCUAAAUGAGGAGUCGAAGGCAAAGAUCAGGAAGAGCAAACCAUAAUUUCAAUAUCAAUUCUUUAUUCUCCUCAUCCACAAACUCAGCUGUUUUGACUCCUUAGACGAGAGACAAACUAAUUCGAUCAGAUUAAAGAGAUUUACAUGUUCAUAAUGCACAAAAGGAACUUAAUUAGCAUUGAUUUUAUUCAAAAAUUAUACAUUUUAGUAUGUACCAUCCGUUUCAUUGCAGCAUUUCAUUAUGUUUUUUGCAUAUUGAGGUUCGAUGUGUUAUACCCUAACAUGUCGGCACAUAAUUUAUAAAACAUAAACAGACACAACUAACAUGUUUUGACUCAUCAAAAAAAUUUGUGCUUUCAGGCUAUAAAGCCUCUCUAUCACUCUAUAUAUUUUAUAUAUGUAUGUGUGUGUACACACACAUACAUAUGAGGUACAAUGUCACUUACCUCACCUCUGUUGUACCACAUGAUCAGAUCGUUCUCUUAUUGUCAAUAUUAUUUAAGUUUUCUUUCUUUAACCACUUCGAAACUCUAAACUUCAAAAGGUUUAACAAUUUUUUUUUGUCUUCAUCCUUCUAUGCAGAUGUGUACACACACACACACACAUAUGAGGUCCAAUGUCACUUACCUCACCUCUGUUACACCGCAUGAUCAGAUCGUUCUCUUAUUGUCAAUCUUGUUUAACUUUUAUCUUUUUAACCACUUUGAAACUCUAAACCUCAAAAGGUUUAACUUUUUUUUUUUGUCUUCAUCCGUCUGUGCAGACAAUUCUUAUAGGAAAACCCGUUGUUUGGGUCGAAGAUUACAAAGAUGGAUUUGGGGUAGGUGAUAAUGGACAAGGCAGUGGCAAGCAAUGUCAUAGAUUGUUUCAGUGCCUUUAUAAUCGAUGAAAUUUCUUAGAAGCAUGACAUGGGUAAGGACUAGAACUAUUUUCAUUCUACAUAUAAUUGAUAAAUGUUUCAUGACAUGGGUAAAGACAGUAAACAACUCUUGCUACGUAUUUGUUGUGAAACUAUUAUGUCGGUGUUGUGUAGCUAUAGAGAAACUGUUAUGUAGCUGCUGUGAAACUAUUGUAUGUUUUUGUGUAGAGGUAUGUAACUCUAUUUAAUCCCUAAGAAAUUGAUUUUUUGUUUAAUGAUUUUGUUGUGCAGGCAACCAUGGUUGAUUUAUGGAUGGCCGCAGUAAGAAAGCAAGCUGAUGACAUGCUGAAGAAAGGGUACCGUAGAAAAUUUGACAUAAACUUGAGCACUUUAUAGAAACUGGUAAUGAAAGCAGAUUAACUCACAUAAAAAGAGAUAAACACUAUAAAUUGGGUCAAGACAAACUAUUUCGGAAAGAUUCCGAUCAUUCAUGAAAUCGAUGGACCACUACCUCAACAAGAUCUUGAAUCGUAAGUUUUAAAGUUUUCAGUUGUUCAUUUAACGUAAGUUUCAAACUGGUUAGGUAACUAGUAAUGUAACUAGUUGUGUAAAUGUUCAUGUAACUGCUGAUAUAUCAUGUUAUGAAUUGGUCACUUGAGUUAUUUGACUUGAAUUUUUAUUGAAAAAUAUAGGCACAUAUGCCUAAUUGACGGACUUGAACAACACUUAGACCGGUCAUAACCGCCAAACUCACCUAAACCAGAACCGCCAAAGACACGACAGUAGCACCAGCUACAAGUUACAGCAAACCGAUCGUCAAACGGAACCAAGACGUGCUCGCACGCACGGCUCUAAUACCGCUCGGUAAGACAAUAUUAAGGACAUCAAGUCCCACAUCGAAGAAGAGGAAGAAUCACCCACAUCCUUAGCUGAUAAAUAGUAACUACCUCUCUCUCCAUUAACUACGUAAAUUACUUCUUACCUAUUCUUAUUCUGUCAACAUCAGCACUGACUUAAACAUCAUAGUGUAGAAGACCGCGCCACCGCGGUCUUUUCCUCUAAGCAAUAUCUUAUGUUUUAGCAGGUCUUCUUGAUAAGGAGCGACAUAUAUCCCGCUACUCAUAACUAGGUAUAGAUAAGCAAACCGCUAAUCCAUUGUACCAACAAAAAACAUUUUGCAUUGUGGGAUUUUUGUAAUGUACUACAUGAACAAACUUUCUAGAGGAGUAAAAGUUUAAGAGGACAUUGAGGAAGUUCGAUGUUCUGAAGUAUAAAGCAGAAAUGGUGAAGAGGUUUCUUAAUCAUCGGCAGAGUUGGAACUUAAUACAUCAGGAGCAAUAGGUUUAGGAAGUUGAGAGCAAAGUGAUCAAAUCAUUUAUAGAAAACAUACAUGAUUGUUUCAUCUAUUUGAUUUUUCGUUACCCCAUAAACCUCAAUGAGCAGUUGACGGCGAAGAUCAUGAAUAUCAAACUAUCCUUUCACUAUCAAUUCUUUCUUCCCAUCCACAAACUCAGCUGUUUCGACUCCUUAGACGAGAGACAAGUUAGUUCAAUCAGAUAAAAAAAAAGGGGGAUUUUCAUAUACACCCAAUUCUGAAGAGUGGUUUUAAAUAAAACCCACAUAAUAUUCCUUUAUGAUAGACAUCUAAAAUGUAUCAAUUAUGAUACAUAUUAUGUCCUAUUUUUUCUAAAUUUUACACAAUUGCCACUAUUCAACUAUAACAUAUAAACAUAAUAAAUAAGCUUAAUUGAUGUUUUCUUAAAUACCUUAAUUAUGAGUUUUUUUUUUAACACUAACAUUUUUCAAUCAAUUUGCAAGAAUCAUGCGGUUUUCUUUAUUUUUAUGAAAAAAUCUAGCUGAAAUAAAUACAUUCUAUGAUCUAUACAUAAGGUAAAAUAUAAUAUAAAUAAGAUAUCUGAUUAUUUGAGUAAAAAGAAGAAAUUUUAUAGUGUUACCGUAAGCCCUAAGCCCUAAACCCUAAACCCUAAACCCUAAACCCUAUACCCUAUACCCUAUAUCCUAAACCCUAAACCCUAAACCCUAUAUCCUAUACAUAUACUCUAACCCUAUACCCUAACCCUAUACCCUAAACCCUAUUAACUUAACCCUAUACCCUAAACCCAAUUUUGGGUUUCUUCUUUUUAGGUAUAUUAUCAUAUCAUGUCAUACUUAAUAGGUAUAUUAUAAAUGUAAAUGUUCUUUCGAUCAGGAUGAGAAAUGAUAUAAUAAUAUACCUAAAAAGAAGAAAAUUAAUCAAAGAACAAGAACGUGUACCUUACAAUCAAACAUUUUUCGACUAUGUAGAGAGACACCAAAUGUGAGCUUAAGAAUGAAAAGAAUCAUUCUAUUACAAAUGACAUACUUCUAUAUAUAACAUAUAUAUACACUCAAGUUAGUAAUAACAAGGUAAGAAAUUAAAGAAUGUAAUUGAUUAUGAUAAAGUUAAAUCCAACUAAAUUUUAGCUCAAUAUUUGAGUUUCAAAUUGAUGCUAAAAUUGAGAAAGAUACCAAAUUUAGCUUUAUAUCGUCUGAAGGGCAAAUUAGAGAAACUAAAAAAUGAAGAAAACUAUUAACUAUAGACAUAUGCUCUAUAUAGUAAGUUUGCUUAUGUGGAGUGGGUGUAAAAUGAAAGAGAAAUAUGUAUGGGUUUAUCUUAAAAGAGAUCUAGUAUUUUGGGUUUUUAUCUAAUUUUCUCAAAAAAAAAUUAAUUACAUGUUCAUAAUGCACAAAAGAUCGCUUGAUUAGCAUUGAUUUUAUUUGAAAAUUAUACACUUUAGUACGUACCAUCCAUUUCCUUGCAACAUUUCAUCAUGUUUUUUGUCAUAUUGAGGUUCGAUGUGGUAUACCCGGACAUGUCGACACCAAAUCUGAAAAACAUAAACAGACAAUCAAUAUGUUAACUUAUCAAAAAAAUUUGAGCUUUCAAGCUAGGCUAUAAAGCCUCUCUAUUACUCUAUAUAUACUUUAUAUGUAUGUAUGUGUACACACAUAUAUGUGAGGUCCAAUGACACCUCACCUUUGUUCCACCGCAUGAUCGGAUCGUCUUCUCAUUGUCGACAAUCUUGUUUAAGUUUUUUUUCUUUAACCACUCUAGAACCCUAAACUUCAAAGGGUUUAACAACUUUUUUCUGUCUUCAACACUUCAUAGGUUUUAGCCACCUUUGGAAGUCUUCUCUAUUUAACCACUUCCCGGCCAACCUUAAACUUCAAAGGGUUUGACCAUUUCCGAAUGUUGUCUCUCUUUAAAAACUUCAAAAAGUCUAACCAUUUACGGAAAUGUUCUCUCUUUAACCACUUCCAAACCCUAAACUUCAAAGGGUUUAAUGAAUUCAGAAAGUUUUCUCUUUAGCAAAUUUAAAGGGUUUAACCAUAUCCGGAAGCCUUCUCUCUUUGACCAAUUAACUAUACUCAGUGCCUUCAUGAUUCAAAUGUACUCGAUCCACAACUUCGCGCAUGUUUCUUUCUCUCUUCACUUGUGUUGUCUUGAUCUAAGACUACAUGUAGACCUCUGUAAGACCAAUUAUCUGUCAUUAAAGAUUCUCAGUCUUAAUUGAACUAGAACUUUGUAAACCUAAGAACAUGUUCCUCUUUUUUUGCUUUGAUAUUUCUAGUGUCGUACUAGAGAUGAGUUUCACUGGAUUUAAGUUGGCGCUUGUCCUUGCGUCAUAUGUGUUUGCAGGUCGCAUCAUGGCUUUUGUUUAUUCCUUAUUUUGUUAGGGUUGGAUGUCCUAAGAAAUGCCAACUUCUGCAGGGAGGGAUAUUGUUCAGUUUCUCCUUUUAAUAACGACGAUGAUGGUUGCCCGACUAGACGUGGUGAUUAUGGUUUCAGAUCGCUACUACAGGCCAGAGAUUGGGUCGCGUGGGUUUCUACUCUGAAGCGUGUGGUAGCGUUAGGGCCAUUCCUUUAGGUUCUAAGGCGAACUUUUGUAGUUUUGUUAGUUAUUUAGUGUCUCGCAUAUUUACAAAUUUUUUUUAAUGAAGGCGGGUCGGUGCGGCUGUCAUCAGGACUUGAUUAAUGAAAUAAUAAUAUGAGUCUCUACAAUAAGCAUGUAUGUGAUCCAGGCACCAACUUAAUAAGCAUAUGUGCUCGAUUAACCAAACACCAACUAAAUAAGCAUGUACUCGAUCAACCAAAUACCAACUAGCAAAGAGUGUUCUAAUUGCUACUUCAUUUUCUUUGAUGUAGCGGUGACAUAAUGGAAAUAUAACUCGACUACUGCGAAACAUAAUUGCAAAAAACAUUGUUUUCCUAUUAUGUUGCUGCAAGAUUAUACAUUUGAUAACAGUCACAACACUUACUACUAGACUAUGAGGAUGCAACAAUUUGACAACACUUCGCUUUAUUCUACCACUAGGAAGAUACAACCAUUUAACAAUGGAACGAAACCUUGCUAGGCCAAAUAAGGCACGUAGUGUGUAUACAUAUGCAUUCCACCAACUAGCCAUUGCAAAACUAUAUAUGUAGUGACUUAUUACUCAUCAAAUGCGAGACACUACUGAAUAAUCGACAAAUGGCAAAACAAAAAACAAAGUAUAAAAUGAUAUCAGUUACAUAUGUUAGGAUUUAGACUUGUGAGGCUCAGGGGAAUCUUGUGAUCUACAGGGAUUCGUGCUUCUGAAGUACGCAUUGCUAGCUACAGGGACUAGGAGACAUGUUGUCCUCUCUGCCUCUCGCAAGAGAGUUUUCUCGGCGUCGCUCAGUCUCGAUUGACGGUGACUUUGCGCCUUCGAUUGUAUGGGGAGCAUUUCCUCCUCUCUCUCAUUCAACUUGUGGCGGUGACAACGAGUUAGCUUGACGACACCUCCUAAACCAAGGCUCUGGCCUUAUUCCUCUUAUUGUGAGUGAUACUGGUGGGUUAACAAACCCAGAUCUGAUGUUGGGUAGCCAUGGCUUUGGAUAGAUGGCGGGGAUCUUAGCGCACGACGGUGGACAAGUUGAUGUUGACGACCAUGGAUUAGAUCUUCUCAAUCUCUGCGAUGUCAAAAGGAAGGGUGGUGGUGUAGUGGGGGCUGUGGACGUGGCUGGUAUGGAUGCCAGCUUAUGGUCUCUGUUUCAAGGGGAGGGUACGCCGACGGCGUGGCUUGGUCGCGGUGGCAGCGGCGGAGAUGAGGAGAAGGCGGCUACUUUGGUCUCCUUCUUGGCUCCUCUAAGGUUUAUGCUGGUUUGGGCCUGGGUUGGAUUAGCUAGGGUUUCUCUCUGUUGGGCCUUGGCUUUUGAGAUUGGCUGCGGGCUUUGUUCGGCUGAAGCUGUUGCAGUGCAAAUGGAUAGGGAUGUAGCAGAAGGGGUGAGUUCCACUUCUGCUAUAGUACCCGCUUGAUUUUGAUAGGGAGAUCAACAUGAAGAUAAGAAUUCUGAUGUUACAGUUUAUUACGUUUCAGAGUUUUUAAUCUUCUUGUUUUUGGUUUUAUCUUCGUAGAAGGUGAACAUACUUAGAGUGAGUGUUUUGGUAUAUUUGUGUGAAGAGCGUACUAGUAUAGUUGUUCUGCAUGAUGGUUUUUCUGACUGCCCUUUGGGCAAGUCAUUAUUGUACUGUUCGCUGAAUUUUAUUAAUUGAUGACCUCUUUUUUUUUUCUUUUUUUUUUAAAAGAGUAUAAAAUAGCAAAUCAAGCAUGACCCAAGGAAAAGGCCCAAACACAAAUCUCCCUCAAGGAAACAAAAGAAGCCACAACCACCAGCAAGAUAUUCAAGCCUGCUCCGCCCUACUAAAUUCGUCUGACCAUCCACGUUUCUCCACCACAACCUGGCCAGAGCCAAUCUAUAUAGCGCUAUGUUUUUCCCCACAUCAAUCGCCUCCUUAUAGCCAAUCUAAAUUACAAUAAUGUACCGGUCACGGUGCUUAAAACAUAUGUUUUUUUUUUAGAACAACUUAAAACAUCUGUUUAACAUAUAUAAUUGUGAGGAAUACACAUAAUAUAAGAAUUAAAUUUAAUCUUGUCCCUGUUUUAGUAGUCCUUGAGGUUCGAUAUUUAUUUGAAUAGUACAUGAAGUCACGAUUUUUCUCUCAAAUAGUCAUUCCGUCUAUUUCCUCUGUCAAAAUAGUGAUGUGGCUGUUAAGAAUUUGCCAGCUCACCGUAAAAUUUUGUGAAUUGACCUAAAUACCCAUGUUAUGCUCACAUAUUAACUCUUUACUCUCUCUCUCUCUCUCUCCACUGUUUAUGCCCUCAAUCUCUUCUCUCUCCUCCUCCACCUCCUCACCACAACCACAUCACCCGCCGGACCUUCAUCGAUAUCACCACCAUAAACAUGGUCUGUCACUGCGGCCUCGACCACAUACUAGAGCGCAAGAAAAACCUCCGGCGAGUUUUCAACAUUAAAAACCUAAUAAAAUCAUAGCCUUUGAAAUCUCUCCCUAUUUCCACCCUCACCAAAUCCAGCCACUCCCUCCAAAUCCCAACUCACCCCGUCGACUUCACCUUGCAGCUUCUCAACAUCGACGUCAAGGAGCAGCUCAUGUACCAGAGCCACUAAACCCACUUACCCCGCAUCUCUCUCCCGUUGCCCAAAACUCAAACCCACACCACAAUCUUCUUCAUUCGCCGACAACCAAACCCUAAACACCACCACCAAUGAAGCCCCUCUUUUUUCCGGUUCAGACCCGAGCUAGAUUUGCAAGCUCAACCACUUCGAAUCCCCAACCAACAACCUCUUCUCGCCUCCCCUUCUUCUAUCUAAAAUUCAAAGCCAUUUGGGAACAUUUUUGUCUCAAUUUGAUGGGAAUUGACCACCUAAUUGGGGAUCCCUAGAGUUUCAGAUUUAGGAAUUGAAAGGUUGUUUGACGGCCGUGAGCUCGGUGGCACUGGUGGAUUUUGGAGGUGAAGAAAGAAAGAAAAGAAGCCGAUAAAAGAAGUUAGAAGGAAAAAGAAAGAAGAAAAAAAAAGGUAAACAAAGCUAGGGGUAUUCUCGUUUAUACAAUUUUUUUAGUCUUUGAUUGCCACAUCAUCAUACUAACGGAGGAAGUGACGGAAUGGACCUUUGGGAUCAAAAACGGUGACUUCACGGACCUUCGAGAUUAAUUUAAAAGAACGAGGACUAAAUCGAUGAUGAACCAUACUACAUGGACUAAACAAUAUUUAGCCCUAUAAAAAAUGUAACGUGACUUUUGACAAUUAAUGAAGCAGCACAAUUACUAUUUUACUGAAGAAGAAAAAAAAACCAACAAAUUAAUCCGGAACCAACAAGCCGGAUGACUAUACUUUAUGGAGACGUCUGGAAUGCUCCGGAGUGUCCGUGCUCCGUAUUUGUCUACUGACAGAAGUAAAUUAGUAAAAAUAAGAUUUUACCACUUGCGUGCAAACACGCCGAAGCUAAGAGCAUCGUGCGUGGGAUUAUAAUUUUUCGUUGAUCUUCCUUUCUCUUCGUUUCUCUUUAUCUUUUCUCAUCCCCCUGUAAUGGCUGCUGUACUGCUGUUCUCUGCAAAUGGCCAACACGACCCAGGCCCAAUUAAUCGCCGACUUCAUCGAUCGUACUCGACUCCACCCAUCCAAACGUUUCGCCCUUCGACGGCAUCCACGUCGAUCUCUCAGACAUAGAGACGCGACGCGUAGAGCAGCCUUCUCUGAGAGAUCCGACAUCGAAAAAACUAUUCUGGGCAUCCAGUUGUUGUUGUGUAGCGAGUUUUCCAUGAAGGAGGCCGCGACUAUUUCCAACAGCAGCCCUCAACUUCGUCUUCGACUUCCUCUAUUCUCCAGUCACUUCCUUUCCAUCUGGUACUUAUCAAAGCUCCCAUCUUUGUUUUGCUUUGUUUGGUUCUGGUUUUUACAGUCAAUAAUCUAUAUUUAUGUCUUCUGUUUUUUCCUUUUCCAAUUCUCCAGCUGUUUGUGGCUGCCAAUAUAGGCAACCAAUUGAAGCUUCUUCAACACAACUCAACGCUGCCCAAAUUCGCCUCUGAGUUGCGCUUCAAAAACUUACCGACGAUGUGCAUAUCACGCGCUCAAAAACUCGAGGAAGACUAACGGUGGACUCACGCCUAUUUUUUACAGGAGCCAAUGGACGAACGACACGUAAAACAGACAAACGCAUAACACAGACGCUCCAGAGCAUUCCAGAACUCACCAUACUUUAUAGUGAAAACAAAGGCUUGAAUUAUUUGGAUAUGUAUCAUGUAUGAUGGGAUGUAGCUCAGCGAUCUAAUCCAACAAGGGACCUUGGAAGCUGGUUUUGUCAUUUCAUAGAUGGAGCCUUGUCAAAAUAGCCGUUGGAAAGCUUGUAGACCAUGCAUGCACACAUUGCUGUAGACUGUAGAGCUCGAUCUCCUUCUCUAUCUCUGUCCCCUUCCCCUUCUCAAAUGAAACCCUCCCUCUGACUCUCUCUUUGUCCAGUCUCUUUCACCUGGUCCAUGCCUCCAUGGGCAUGUCUUGGCACGCGUUGCAGGUCCUGUUGCAGCCACUACUGCGCAUAGUUCACUAAAAUAUUGUAGGCUGACACAAACAAACUUACCCUAAAGUGUCGCCAACUGGGUAAGAUCAGAACAUUGAAUCGAACGGGCUAAACAAAGUAACAAACCAUUUGGAUGAUCGAAUGAGCUAGAUAGAGGCAUGUGCUGGUUGAAUAUAAUAGCGCCCAUUUGGCCCUUCUUGGUGCUCACUACUCUCACCCCACCCCAGUAAUUGUAAAAUGAGAACGGAGAGCUUUUGUUCUUGGUGAAAAAGGUACGCCUGGGGAAGGGUCGAAAGGACUUGGAGAUAAAGACACGAGAAUUCUAAAGGCGUUUUUGACCCAACACCCAUUAUCAAUCGGUUUUUCCCUUUCUGUUUUCUAGAGGAUGUGAAGCUUCCUAUACACACCUACCUUCUUGCAUUAUGUCGAGUCUUCAUCCACUCCACUAUAGUAAUUAUAAAUUAGUAAUGGUCUCACUAAAAGCUAAUUGAUCAAUUUGUUAUCAUAUUCAAAGAUGUGAACUUAAGGAUAUUUGUUGAAAUGCCUCAAACAAGUCUAGCUAGCCACGUAUAAUUUAUCCCGAUAAGAGACUAAAUCGAUGUGUUAUUUCAUCUUACAUGUAUCGUAAGUAUUUUUUUUUAUGUAAUUGUAAAAUCGCUCUAAAUUAAUCAAGCUAAACUCUGUUACCCUAGAGUUAGGCGUUUCUAUCAAGUUUCUAAUUAUCACAUUUGGAAACUUGGAAUCAUGAUGUAGGUUGGAUUAUAUAUGCUUUGGGUGAGGCUUGGUGUGGAGUGUUCUAAAUGCACUUUUCUCUUUGGCUGUGAAAGUUUGUAUUGGAGUUAGUUGAGAUGAGGACCCUAAAAAAGAAAAAGGCAAAGGUGGUGGAGGAGGUUUCCAAGAUGAAAAAUUGAAGCAAUGUGCUAGCUAGACGCAAGUACCCUUAUGAUAGGGCUUAGCUUUUGUCUCUGCAAAUGAGAGGUUUCCUUCUACCCCUCUAAGCUUUUGGGUAAAAAGAUACUAAACGUCACAUUAUAGAGCUUGUCAUGCCACGCAUGGACCGAAAUGUCUUCUCCAACGCUCAAGUGAAAAUCAUUCCCCUCUUGACUCCAUCAUAGCCACACACAACAUACAGACACAGAGUUUCAAAGUCUCGGAUCUUUAUCUUGAUUUCACUAGAUAAUCAUGUCUAUAAUUCUUCCGUUUUGUCAAGUUAAAGUUGGUCUGACUUCUGUGAGAUUACCUAGUUUCCUUGCGGUUUUACCAAAAUUCUUGUUUCUGACUUCUGUGUUCUAAAGUAACCAACAAAGCAUUAGGAUGGAUAUAAAAACUCAAGGUGUCAUAAUCUUCAUGGAAAAGAGGCUCAAUCUAUUCCUCACACCUUAAUCACAUUCACAUUUACAUGCUUAAUAUGCUACAAUCUUCCUUUGUCCACACACAUACCUACUCACGAUAGUUAUCUCCAAUGAAGCUUCAGUUUAGACGUAAAUUCACUAAUGAUUACGCCAAGAAGAAGUCUAGUCUGAUAGAAAGUUAGAAACUGAUCGAGUACAGAAAUCUAAAUGCAAUGUAAGCUGAUUAGAGACAAGGCCAUAAUGCAACCCCGAGUAGCUAGUGACGAGCAAAUUAUACAUUUUUAGGGUUCUAAAAUUUGAGAAUUGAGAAUUGCUUGAGGAAGGAUUGAAGGCAUUCGUUUAUGGGUUGUAGCAUGCGUGUCUAUGCCAAAUGCCCUAAAGAAAAAUACCACCAUUAUUAAUUUGGAAAGCUGGAUAGCUUUCCCCUGUAAACAAUUGACCAUAAUCAAAAGAACCCAUGAAACCAAAAUUUGAAGGGGAAAAAAAAAAAAAGACUGGAGAAGGAAAAGGUGCAACCUUUGCUUCUAUUCCAAGAUUCAGAGAGAAAACGAUAACACAGUGCUUAUGCUCAUUGCUCUCCACCUAUGUUUUCUGGGCACUCUUCCCAACCUUCUCUCUCUCUCUCUCUCUUGCUUCAAAACUGAGCACUCUUCCCAACCUUCUCUCUCUCUCUCUCUUGCUUCAAAAUGCAGAAAUGCUGCAAUAUUCCAGGCAAGUAUAUUUUGUGUUGGUGGAGUUCCUUGGUGGAGAUGGAAACAAAAAUUUUGCAUGCGGAAUUAGGCUGUAAAAGUAUGUAUAUAAAAAACGACACACGAGUUGGGGUAGUCCAAGCCACUGUGUUGAACAAAGGAAGAUGCUUUUUUCAGUAGAUCAGCAGAAUAGGGUUUGAAACUUUCCAAGUUGCCAUGAGGAAGAUGGAGACUUUACCUGGCUCACUAUAAAACAAGAUAUGGAAUAACGGACUCUGUCUUGUCGUAUUUUGGAGUACGAUGAACAAAACCAUGGAAGAAAAGGUUUUUGGCCGUUUAAUUAGUGCUAACUGCCAAUCAAGGUUGAUCAAUGCAGCAAUGGUAAUCAACAUAAAACGAGAUUAUUAAAUUAGUUAUUGUUAUGUUUAUUGUUUAAUCAGUGUCGACUAAAGGUAGUGCUUAUGAAGUUAAUGUUAACAAAAAACAAAAAAAAGUUUUUAGCAUCACUCUACGUCUUUUAUUUUUGUAUAAAUGUCGAUUGUUUGAAAUUUUUAAUUUGAUGUUCUAAGUCAGCAUUCCGACGCAAAUAUAUUUGUGAAGCGAUUAGUCCUAUUCAAAUAUACACGACCAAGAAAUACUGGAUACCAAGAUUUAUUUUUACUUUUUCAAAAUUUAUGUGUAGUCUGUUUUACUCUUGUGAAUAUGUCAAGUCCUCUUUUUACAAAUAGUAGAUCAAAAUCAAAUAAGCUACCAUUGGUUUUUCCCCUAGUGUAAAUUUUUUGCCACUGCCCAGUGCCCAGUCACCUUCAACUAUUUCCUGAUCAAAAUCCAAAACCUUUUUCCAGUUCCAGUUGUAGAUUUUGUCAUACUUCUCGGUCCUUACUCUCUACCGCAAGAAAACGAAUACAGUACUCCUAUCUCUGUUACUGUGUGUGUAUCAUCAACACAGUAACUUUUACACAUUCUCUCUUUUCAUUUUCCAUGAACAGUGAACACCCAUAUGCUGCUGACUCAUCAUUGUCACCCCUAAACUUUCAACCUACCCAAAUUUUCCACUCUCUCUCACAUGAUCAUCACACACAUCUAUUUCAGGGUCCAGAGUUUCUGUAAUGCCCCAAAGAAAACAGCUUGGAAAAAAUAGUAAUAAUCAAUUACAAAAACAAGAUAUACCCAGCUUUAUAUAGAGCCCCCACUAAGCAGUAUCCUCAUUUCUCAGCAGACCCCCAAAACCCAAAUCAAUCCUUCUCUCAAGGUUGUUUUGCUCUCAUUCUUCUUCUCUGCACUAAACCCAUGAUUUCUCUGCCAUGGAAAACCAUUGCAAUGGCUUUGGUUUUGCUUCAAAUCACAGAAGCCUCUCCUCUUUCUAGACUUGAUAGAAUUACCCGGUUGCCUGGUCAGCCCCAAGUCGGGUUCCAACACUACUCGGGUUAUGUGACCGUCGAUGAGAAGAAACAGAGAGCUCUGUUUUACUACUUUGCUGAAGCUGAAGUUGAACCAGCUUCAAAGCCUCUGGUUCUCUGGCUCAAUGGAGGUCACUAAUUCUUACUGACUAGUCUAAAGUUUGAAUCUCUUUCUAGUUUUGUUUUCUGGGUCUUGAUGUGUUUUUGAUUUUGGAGUACAGGGCCUGGUUGUUCUUCUCUGGGAGUUGGAGCAUUUUCUGAAAAUGGACCAUUUAGGCCUAGUGGAGAGGUACUGGUUAGAAAUGAAUAUAGUUGGAACAGAGGUAUGUAUUUUUUUUGUAGAUUGGUGAUUUUCACUAAUGUGUAGUUUCAGAACAAGCAAAGGACUCUGAGACAUUCUCAUUGAUUUGAUUUGCAGAAGCAAACAUGCUGUACUUGGAGACACCAAUUGGAGUUGGGUUCUCUUAUUCAACUGAUACCGCAUCUUAUGAGUCUGUAAAUGACCGUAUCACAGGUAAUGUGUUAUCCAUUCUUCUAUUUUUGUGUAUAUCAAUUUUUUGGUCAUUUUAUCGACUGUUCUAUUUUAUUGACAUGUUCUGCAUUUGAGUUUUCUUCCAAAUUUUCCCAGAAAGUAGAAGUCUUGCAAUAUAAGAAAGAAAAAGAACUAUUUUCUUUUGUCUCUGUACCGAACGUUCAAGUCAACUUCUGUUCCUAUCUUUCUUAUGUUUCCAGAAAUUAGAAAAGUGCAUAUAUAUAUAUAUAUAUAUCAUAUAUGUCUGUAUAUUCUUUUUCUUCUUUUACCCCAAAGUUCCAUUUUAAAUCUUUUGAUUUCUUUUUUACACUGAAGAUUCAGAAGAAUAUUUCAUGAUGGGUAUGCACUAGGUUAUUUUUUGGGUUCACUUUACAGAUGUGCCAUGUUUAAUGAUCACUAUAGAUGUUUUGGAUUUUUCCUUCUGAGUUGACAAAAGCUAACCUUUACAGGCUACCUCUAAUUUCUAAAUGUCUGUUUGUUUAUCUAUCUAUAGCCAGGGACAAUCUGAUGUUCUUACAAAAGUGGCUGGACAAAUUCCCUCAAUAUAGAAACAGAAGCUUGUUUAUUACUGGAGAAAGCUAUGCUGGUAUGAUUAUCUUGAUUCCUAUGAAGAAUUACUAUAUCCAUAAUCAGUAUGACUAUAAUAAUAGAUGGAGGAACUGAUACCUUUUUUUCUUAUCAAUUACUAGGACAUUAUGUUCCCCAGCUAGCAGAACUCAUGCUCCAAUUCAGCAAGGAAUAUCACUUCAAUCUAAAAGGAAUUGCUGUAAGUACUAUUACCCCUGCAACAUUUCCCUCUGCCUGUAACUUAGAACUUUGUCCAUCUCUAUACUUUUGGACUAAUAUUCUUGAUCACAUUGCAGUUGGGUAAUCCAGUCCUUGAAUAUGCUACCGACUUCAAUUCAAGAUCCGAGUUCUUUUGGUCUCAUGGAUUGAUAUCAGAUUCAACAUACAAAAUGUUCACUUCAGUUUGUAACUAUUCCAGAUAUGUGAGUGAAUAUUAUAGAGGCUCGGUUUCGCCUAUUUGUUCCAAGGUGAUGAGUCAAGUCAGCAGAGAAACUAGUAAAUUUGUUGACAAGUAUGAUGUCACACUUGAUGUUUGUAUAUCAUCUGUGUUCUCCCAAUCCAAAGUCCUCAGUCCCCAGGUGAAUAUCCUUGAUCACAACAUGAAAACUCGGCAUUCAUUUUGACAUCAGUGGUAUAACUGGUAUCUGUGCUCUAAUUGAUUUGACUCGUUUGUUCAUGCAGCAAGUUACUGAGUCGAUAGAUGUAUGCGUGGAAGAUGAAACAGUAAAUUAUUUAAACAGGCUGGAUGUGCAGAAGGCACUUCAUGCUCGUCUUGUUGGUGUUCGGAAAUGGGCAGUUUGCAGCAAGUACUUCUCGUCACCUAUAUAAAUUUGAAAGAAGCUUGAACUGAUAGCUUGAUUGCUUAUUAUAUUGAUCUUAUGUGUUCAUGACAGUGUAUUGGAUUAUGAGCUGCUGGAUUUGGAGAUACCAACAAUCAGCAUCGUAGGCAAACUCAUUAAGGCAGGAAUUUCAGUCUUGGUUUACAGGUAUAUGCAUGCUUGCUAAGUAUUUCUCCGUACUUUUAUGCAUUUAGACAACAUCACUCUAGGUAUAUGCAUGCUUGCUAAGUAUUUCUCCGUACUUUUAUGCAUUUAGACAACAUCACUCUAGUUUGAAUUCUUCUAAAGGUCAUGGAAGGUCACUAAAAUUUGAGCUUUUCUUUUUGUUUUCACUUGCAGUGGGGACCAAGAUUCUGUUAUUCCAUUGACAGGUAGUCGGACAUUAGUUCAUGGACUUGCAGAGGAACUAAAACUAAAUACCACCGUUCCUUAUAGAGUCUGGUUCGAGGGGCAGCAGGUUAAUCUUAUUUCAUAUCACUAGAACUGAAGAACUUUCAGGUGGUUGUGUUAGGAACUAUGACCUGAUAAAAGGUUUUUCACUGUUUUCAGGUUGGUGGGUGGACUCAAGUUUAUGGUAAUAUGCUUUCCUUUGCCACCAUUAGAGGAGCAUCACAUGAAGCACCAUUCUCGCAGCCUGAGCGGUCACUUGUUUUGUUUAAAUCAUUUCUGGAGGGCCGACCGCUACCAGAAGCAUUCUGAUCUACUGAUCAGUUAGAUAGGGUCCAGAUGAGAUUGUAAGAAGUGUGGUUGCUAUCUGAGCAUGGAAAUUGCAUUUGUUUGUUAUUCGUUUCUUGUUACAUGGGUUAUCCAUGCUGUGGAAACCGGAAAGUAGAAGGGCUUUGUAAACAUCAGAAGGAAAAAGAAAUGGAAAGAAAAAAAGUGUUUUAUUUGUCAGUCUUCAAGUUUCCCUUUGUACAUCAGUUUCAAAUAGAUGAUGAGUUUCAAAAUGAUACUAAUCUAGAACUUCUAUUUAAAGAAGCUGAAUGUAAAAUUAGCCCCAGAUAUUAAGCCAAAUGAAAGUACAUGGAACAUUAUAUACGCUUAUCAAACUGACAUAACAUGACCAAAAAAUCAAGAAGUUGCUAAAGAGUUGUUCUUAAAGUAAUUGGAAAUUACAACCGGAGCUUCAACCUGCAUUUUCAUAGAACUGAACUCCAAUGCCAAUAACGGUUUUGAUAGCAUCACGGCUCUGGUAAGGUUCUGCACAUUGUCCGUGAUUUCUUUUUGAUUCUGCGUAUGGUAACAAUGACUGUCUGAAGAUUGUUCGUUCUCAUUUGUUGGCACAGGAGAUGGCCCUGAGACUUUGGCUGGAUGCACUGCUCGUACCCUAAACAAGAAUCAUGAAGCAAAGAUCAUUUGAUCCUUCACUGGCAAUAGAUAAAGAAUGAAAGACAGCAUAUUUCAACCAAAUAAGCAUAUUAUUUAACGCUUGAGGAGCAUAACCUGCAGUCGAUCAUGCAAGAGUACUUGAGAAGGUCUGGAUAAUACUUUGUGCGACCGCUGCAAUUUCACAACACAAUGUACUAAUUAAGAAAAACCAGUUGUAAUAUCCUAGAGAAUUAGAAAGAGACUCAGCCACAAAAGAACUUGCCUAAAACUUGGAAGUGACAUUUUGAUUGCUGGUCCCAUCCACUUGUUACCGUCCAAUGCAGGCACUGCCAUCACCAUAAACCACGAUGGACAUUGAUGAUCCAAUUAUCAGAAGGAUGAAAACCAGAAAGAAGUAUCUAAUAAUUAGUUCAUCAAAAAGAUGUCAGCAUAACCUAUAUGGUAUAAGAAAGGAAGAAAAGUUCAGAUUUAACUCACUGGAAGUGGUAAGGUUGACAUUACAGGCAUCUUUUGAAGCAUGAUCCAUGAUUUCAGUCACUUGAACAUGUAUCUGCUCUUCUGGAUUAGAGAUAACACCAUUCAUGCCAAUUGCAUUUAGAAAUUCGCUUUGUUUUGUCUGUGGUUGUCUUGAAACUGCUGUAAUUCUCUGUUAUGCAGCAACCUACUGAUUUUAGGAAACAAUAACGGAUUUCUUGCAAGUACUUUGUAUGAAGAGUUCACAAUACAUAGACAUUAAGCAGUGCAGUCACUUUUUUGGUUUCAUGAUUGUAUGCAGCGGUCUACAAAUGCUAGUAAACCAAAAGAAGAAGAAAAUGCCACUUGCCUUAGAAAACCUCGCAACUUGACUUGGUAGGCCUACUUCCUGCAUGCAAUUAACAUGGAAUUGAUUUAUAGAUGCCAUAGCUAAAACAAGUUUGAUGUAAAAUAAGAUUGAAAUCUGCUCUGAGAAAAAUGCAGCUUCCCACCUUUCGCCCAUGAUCACAAGCUUCAUUGCUAUUCACAAGCACCUUUGCUGCCCAUCUAUUUGACAAAACAAGUCAAAACGGCGCUAAAAUGUACUGCAUUCUAUCAUUCAUUCAUAACCAACCUAUAUCUUUCUGCAACAAUCUAUAUCAACUUUUUUUUUCUUUUUCUUUUGAGAAAUUUAUAUCAACUCUAAAAAACGAGAAACAACGAACGAGCUGUGACUUACCGCAUUGUAAACACAGGUUUCUUACUUAAGGGGAUGACUAGCCCCAAGAUCAAUAGGACAAACCUUCCUAACAAAUUGUACACUCAUCAACUCAGUAUAAACAAAACAAGAGAAAGUUGAGCCAAACGUACGCGCAAGAUGUUGGAGGGCUCCAUACAAGUCCAGCAAUCACAACAAGCUGAAUGGAGAAAAUAAAUGGACAUGUCCUAUUAGUAACUAGUUGCAUAACCUUGACAAUUAUUGCGAAAUCAAAUACUGAACCAAAACUGAUGUAUGUGCCAACCUCAUCAAAGACUCCAGCUGGGCUAUCAUCAUAGUUAGCAAGAAAAAACCCGCCAAGAGUAUAACUGCCAACCAUAAGUAUACAUCAUUUGGUGAUCCAACUCCCAAAAUCAAGAUAUAAAAGUGAAUGUGAGCCAUACAGAAUCGAUAACGUAGUAUUUACCCAAAUGCUUCAACUAAUCUUAACUCUUUAGGGAUGCAUGCUCGAACAGUCGCUGCCUUGACAAGAUGGAGUUGAUACAAUGCUCUGAUUGGACAAAUCAAACCAAGGCAAUGUGCAUAGUCUGUCUUUCAACAUUGAGAAGGCAAUAAACACUAAGUGUCGUUAGGAGUUAGGACAACUCACCUGCCUUUGAAAAUCCAUGGAGGCUUGCCGUAGUUGAAGGAACCUUUUGUUUCUUCCACAUCCAUGAGCUUAGAUCACUUGAACAAAGUGCUUAACCCAAAAACACCUCCAAAGUGCUUUUACGUCUGAACUGCAUAGAGAGUUCCAGAACAAGAAAAGCUAUAUGUUACACAACCCAGAAGAGAAAGAUUCGAAAAUGAGAAUAAUGGAUGGAAGCAAAGGCUGUCUUUGUUGCUUGAAUUAUGAGAGGAGGGAGAUGUAACCCAGAAGGGUAUUGAGUGAAAGCAAUGAAUGGCUGUGAGAGUGAGUGAAAGGUUAACUCUUUCUACAUAUUUAUAGGGGAAGAGAAAGCAACAGAAGAAGUGUGUUAGACUGACAGUGAUUGGUUAGCUGAAGCAUCAGUAGCCUUAGGAGAGGAUAGGACGUUAUCCAAACCACCACAUGAUAUGUCAUUUGGCGCCAAUUGAUUACCGAAACCAAAAACCAAACCCCAAUACCAAUACCAUCUCUGUUUUUCUUUUUCACUCUCAGUAACGUGGUUUAAUUUGUUUAUAUUUAUCCAUGCUGAUCCAUGACGCAAUCCUAUGAGAUAUGAUUUCGUUUUGUUUCUCAUUUCUUAAUUCUUUGAUCUAAACCAAUCCCAAGCUCUAUAUUAUUAUACUGGUUGUUGCCUUGUUGGGUAUAAAUUGGGAAAGUUGGAUUCUUCUGAAUACUAAAAUACCUAAAUGCUUCAUCCUUCUGAAGAGUAAAGCGGCUUAACUCUUUACCAGAGGCCCAGAGCCAUUGCUAAUUUGCCACCACCCAGCCAGCACCACUGAACCACUUGCUUUGUGGAGGAGCCAAUCAAGAUUAACCUUUCGCCAUUACAAAACCAUACCAGAAAACAGUCUCUACUAGUAAUGCAAAACUAUCAAAGCCCAAGGCCUCAAAUACCUAGUUGUGCCCAGAAACUUUGAAUUUACCCAGUACUACUUUAGGUGGUUUCAUCCACGGUUACGCAAGUAUGGUUCUCAUUAAUUUAUGAUGAUGACAUAUUUUUGGGAACCCCACGAGAGAAAGCGGAAACAAUAUCACUCACACAAAAUCUUGAGAUUCUCAUACACAGACGUGUCGACAGACUCGUCACAUAUACUGUCACUCUGCCUUUCAUACUUUCUAGUUCCACUAAAUUAGAAGUAUGAAGAAAAAGAGGUCACUGCUAUUCUUACCAAUAGCUUCACUGACCUUUUGUACUACAGGGUACUCUGGCACCCUCUGGUUCGUUCUUCGUGAACUUGCAGCUGACUCAAGCUUCAUCUUAAUGGAGCAACCAGAAAGCGACACGUCUGAGUAACACAUGAUGGCGCGAGUCAUGUAUCGAGUUUCAACUUAUGUGUCGAGUUUCAAUAUUAUGGAGCACUGUCAUAGACUCGUAGCCAUUGUCGUAUAGGCUUCUAUGGAAUUGCAAAAGUUACCAGUAAUCUCUGCAAGAACACUCGCCCGACUUAAAGUGAUGGAAUCUGUUGGAGUCUCUCACAAUGAUUACACGCCUUGUUACCAUGGAGACAUGUUUUGCAAACUCAUGACAGUCUUUGCAGGCCCUGAUGUUCUUAAAGACCACAAUAGGGGCAUUACUUGGUGUGGAAAUGAGCCCGAAUGCUAUAGCUAGUCUCUCACUGUGGUCAAGAAGCUGUUCUUUCCUUUCAGGAAAACCAGCCAGUACAUCCUCCUCGGUUAGAAGUGAAUCUUCAUCAUCCUUGAAAGAAAUGCUUAGCUCAUUUAGCUUUGAGUAUAUCUGGUCUAUUUGAGAAUGGUGCUUAUCGCCCACUAUAAACCGGUGUGUUUCGCCCUUGACAGUGAUCCAGCUGCAACCUGUUUCUUUCCUCAAGUUUUUUUCAACCAUCAUUCUUCGAAAACGUGCAGCUUCUUCCCAUUUUCCCAAUGAUGCAUACAAAUUGAACAUGAUAAUGUAACUAGCGGUGUCCUCUGGGUCCAUCUGGAGGAGAUUUUCAGCUGCAAACUUUCCGAGCUCAAGAUUUCGAUGUAUCCAGCAUCCACCUAAUAAGCUUUUCCAGCUCAUUGCAUCAGGCUCAAAUGGCAUACUCUUUAUCAGUUCAAAUGCCUCCUGUAGUCGUCCAGCACGAGAGUACACAUCGAUCAUACAAUCAUAAUGAUCCACGGUUGGUUCCACAUUAUAUACACUAUACAUCGAAUCCAAAUACUGCUUUGCCUCUGUCACCAAACCUGAAUGGCUACAAGCAGUUAGAACAGCUAUAAAUGUAACUGAAUUUGGCUUUAUGCCAGAGUUCUGCAUUCUACUGAAAAGACGCAGAGCUUCAGAGGCAUUGCCAUGAUACGCAUAACCACAAAUUAUAGCAGUCCAGGCCACAGUAUCAGGUUUGUCUAUCGAUUCAAAUGCUUGAUAGGCAUAGUCCAAUCUGCCACAUUUUGAGUACAUAGUAAUCAUUGCACUUGCUCCAUACAAGAAUGCAACAAAGCCUCUUUUUAUUGCAUCCGCAUGAACUUGAGCACCAAAAUUUAUAUCUGCAACUGCAGAGCAUGCUUGAAAUAUACUUGUAUAUAUGUACGGAUUCAAUGUAACACCUUUACCAAUUAAAGUUUGAAAAAUCUCAAGACACUCCUCAAAUUGGCCAUUCUGGCAAUAGCCAGAGAUUAUGGCACUCCAUGAAACAUCAUUCGGUUCAUCUAUCCUCUUAAAUGCUCGGCGAGCAGAUUCAAAUUCACCACAUUUCACAUAGAAGUCCACUAGAGGAGUUCCAACAGAAACCUCAGAAUCUAAUCCAAGCUUAACACUGUAACCAUGGAUUUGCCUUCCUGCAUUCAACUCCUCCAAACCAGCACAUGCCUUGAGAACAAUCGAAAAAACAAAAUCAUCAACCUCUACACUCUCCCUAACCAUCUCAGCAAACGACUCCAAAACCUCCCCCAGCUUCCCAUCUUCAGUAUACCCCACCAUCAACCCAGUCCAAGCCACCACACUCUUGUUCUCCCCCAUCUGAUCAAACACAAGUCUAGCACCAUCCAACCACCCACAUUUCACAUACAUGUUCCCAAUCGCCGUCUCAACGGAACCACCACCAUUCCCACUUCUUAUAACAUAAGAAUGCAUCUGCUUCCCAAAUUCCAGAUGCAAAUCCUCAUCCAACUUCUUCAACAACCCCGUAAAAAUCGACGCAUUCGGCCUCACCCCACACUCCAGCAUAUCCAAAAACAGCCCAACAGCCUUGCUCAAAACACCGCUCUCCACAUAAGCAGAGAUCAUUAUAACCCAAGAAACCAAAUCCCUGCCACGCAUUUCAUCAAACACCUUCUGUGCAUCCCUCAAACUCCCGCAAUCGCAGUACAUCUUAAGCGCAUCGUUCUCAAGAAACUCGGCUGGACUCUUCACUGUACUCCGCAACCAUUCGUGAAUGAAUUUGCCGUCAGAAAAAUAACCCAUCAGUCCACACUUCUCGAACAAACACCGGUACGACUGAGCAGUCACGGCCACGCCGGCCUCGUUCAUUUGCUUCAGAAACUCGCGCGCUUCUUUCAUCUUCCCCUGUUUCGAUAACGAAACCAGGUGAACGUUUUCGACUUGCCCGGUUUGUAUGUGCUGGGUGCUCAACAAUGGAGCUGAGGUGGAUUUUAACGAGACCCAUGAUGGGAUUUGGGAAAAGUUUACAGAUUUUAUAUGGGGAGGUUUGUCAUUGUGAUGACUUGUGGAGCAAGAAAGCAGCAGAGAAGACUGGACUGUGGUUAAAGAAGAAGAAGACAUUCAAACCCAGAUAAACCCCAAUCCAAUAUUUCCAGCUCUCUUUUGAAUCUGUUGCAGAUUUUAUAGGAAAAGCUUUGACCUUUUUUACUUGGGUUUAAGGAGCAGCCAAAACGCACCGUUUUGCAAUACAAAAGUUUGUUUCUUUGUUUAUUUCUGUUACAUUUCCACACAGAAACCCAAAACCCUAGAUUUGAUCUUAACCGGAGCAACUCCACAAUGAAGGCUUCACUGCAAUUCCGCGGCGUUAGCUAUUGUGUGACUCCGAGGCUGUCACACUCGCGGCGCGUGGGGUGGGUCGCCUCGGCGGCGGCGGCGAAUCCGCGGUGGUUCAAUGCGGCGGUGGAGAAUGCAUGUAGAGGCGGAGGCUUGAGAGCUGAGAGACGGAGGAUGAGGAUCGAGGCUGUGGUGAGGGGAGAGGGAGAGGGAGAGAGAGGUGAGGAAACGGCGGCGUUUAGCUGCGUGAUGAAAUUCGGAGGGUCGUCGGUGGGGACGGCGGAGAGGAUAAGGGAGAUAGCUCAGCUGAUUGUGAGUUUUCCGGAGGAGAAGCCGGUGGUGGUGCUCUCUGCAAUGGGGAAGACUACUAAUAACCUCUUACUUGUAAUGCACUUUUUUCAUUAGUGUCUCUAAUUAAUUUAAUUUUAGUUUAGUUUAUGUGAUUGUGAUUAGUUGUUGAUUGUGAAACUUUAUGGGUUUGAACUUUGUGGAUGCUAGGCUGGGGAGAAGGCGGUCAGUUGCGGUGUUUUGAAUGCCUCUGAAAUCGAAGAACUGAGCAUUGUAAAACAGCUUCAUCUUAAGUAAGCUCAAUAAAUUUCACCUGUGGUUGUAUUUAAGUUUUCAGUUGUGUGUUAGUGGUGUUCUGAAAGGCUGUGUGAUUUGUUUGAUGUGAUCAGGACUGUUUCUGAACUUGGAGUUGAUCCUUCUGUUAUUACAGGUAAGCAGCUUCCUAGUUGAAGGGGGAAAAUGUGUGCAUUUUGUCUCUUGAGCAAUUUUUUGAAGGAUGGUGUUUGAUUGGAGAAUUUUGAUGUUUGCUUUUGUAUGAAACAAUGUGCAGGACACUUGGAAGAACUUGGGCAACUGCUGAAGGGAAUAGCGAUGAUGAAAGAGUUGACUCUACGCACAAGAGACUAUCUAGUUUCAUUUGGAGAGUGCAUGUCCACACGAAUCGUUGCAGCUUAUCUGAACAAGAUUGGUGUUAAGGCGCGCCAAGUAUGUAUACCCAUGUUUAGCAAUUUUUUGUUUUGACAUAUCUAUGAUAGCUUUGUCCUCUUAUUGUUUGUUUGCCACUUAAGAUCGUCUUUUGAUUGUCGUUGCUACUUAAUGUAUUGCAGUAUGAUGCAUUUGACAUUGGCUUCCUAACAACAGAUGACUUCACCAAUGCUGAAAUCUUGGAGGAAACUUACCCGUCUGUUGCUAAAAGAUUAAAUGAUGACUGGAUUAAGGAUCCUGCAAUUCCCAUUGUUACUGGAUUUCUCGGAAAGGUCUUUCUCUUGGCUAUAGCUACUGGAUAGGAUUCUGGCUGAAAUGCUUUAAGGAGUCUCAAUUUCUAAUUAAGAUAUCAUUAUGAGCUGAGAUUCCUAACAUUACAUAUGUUGUAUUGAUCGUAGGCUUCAAAAUCUUGUGCAGUUACUGCCCUGGGUAGGGGUGGUAGUGAUUUGACAGCCACAGCCAUCGGUAAAGCCCUAGGCUUGCGAGAAGUCCAGGUGAGAUUAGACUUUGAAACAUGUGUCACUCAUGUUUAUGCUAAAUCUUUGUCUGGCUGUUUAUGGAUGUAGCUAAAUGGCAAGCAUUUUAGUGGUGAUUGUGCAUCUAUGUUGUUAGUACCAACUAUAUGCUAAUACAGAAACAAAUAUAGAAGUUAAUUUGACAGUUGUAGCAGGUGUGGAAGGAUGUUGAUGGUGUUUUGACCUGCGAUCCUAGCAUAUGUUCUAAUGCACAACCUGUUCCUCAUUUGACUUUCGAAGAGGCGGCUGAGCUUGCGUAUUUUGGUGCUCAGGUUCGAUGUUCUCCAUGAAUGCUUAAUGUUAAUUUGUAUUCAAACAGAUAUUUGACUUGGCUAAAACUUAAAUCUACAGCUUGUUUUUUGGAGAUAAAUUAGAGCUGGAUACUGAAACUUUUGGACUAACUCUGUCCAUGAAGACUGUUACUGAGUCUAGUUAUUUUUCAGAUAAAAAGUAUGACAUCCAUCAUGGCCAAUUCCUGUUACUUUGUAUACCAUUUUUUAUUAGACAAAUCAUUGCUUCAGUAAUUAGUAUGGUAACUAGACAUGUAGCUUUUAAUUGGUACUGAAUAAAACUAAGAUUGAAUGCGGUGAGCAGGUUCUACAUCCGCAAUCUAUGAGACCAGCUAGAGAUGGCGACAUUCCUGUUAGGGUCAAGAACUCUUAUAACCCUAAAGCUCCUGGCACCCUCAUAACUAAAGCAAGAGAUAUGACUAAGGUUUGUAUCAGCUUAGAUCUUUUUUCGAAAAUGAAGUGUGAAAGAAUUCAAAGUCUCUAUGAUUGUUUACUCCCAAAUAUUCUAACACAUAUCAAACUUAGGCUGUUCUAACCAGCAUAGUCCUGAAGCAAAAUAUUACUCUGUUGGAUAUUGUCAGCACACGCAUGCUUGGUCAAGUUGGUUUUCUUGCAAAGGUGAGAGGCUUAUUGGUGGCAUGUUUUGUAUAUUCUGAUUGGUGACCAGUACCCUUUUAUUUUUUUGUUUGUAAAUUCUGAUUGUAACUGGUCUGAUUUCCUCAUCUAAGUAGGUGUUUUCAACCUUUGAAGAUUUGGGCAUAUCUGUGGAUGUUGUUGCAACAAGUGAAGUUAGUUUAUCUUUGACAUUGGAUCCAUCAAAAUUCUGGAGUAGGGAACUGAUUCAGCAGGCAAGAUCACAAAUUUAUGUUCUUUGUUUAUGAUUUACUGUUUGCCUACUUGUAAUUCGUGUUAGGCUAUGUGUAUUAUUUUCCAAGGUUCCUCUGAAUUAAUCCUGAACCUGCCCUCCCCCUUGUGCAGAUUAUGACCUCUUGAUAACAUAAAGCUACCAUUGUUUUUAAAAUCUUAACGCCCUCUAUCUUCCAUAUAUAACAGGAACUUGACAAAAUGGAGGAAGAACUUGAAAAAAUUGCAUUCGUAAAUCUUCUGCAGCAGAGGUCAAUCAUCUCACUCAUUGGAAAUGUUCAGUAUUCUUCGUUGAUUCUAGAGAAGGUGUUGUAUUUCUCUCUGUCAUACUCUAGAAUCUGUUGCACUAGUCACUCUGCCAUAAUCUAGAAUCCGUUACACUAGUGUUGCUUUCUUUCGUUGUCUUGGUAUUUUCCUCUUCUUUCUCAUCUCCUACAAUGUCUAUUUCUUCUCACAGGCAUUUCAAGUUCUUCGAACCAAUCAAGUUAAUGUCCAAAUGAUCUCACAAGGGGCAUCUAAGGUUUCUUCAUAUCUUAAUCGUUGCAGUUCCACUCAUUAUUGUUAUUAGUUUAUUACAUUUUCUUUUUGCCUGCAUUCUUCUUGCAGUCUAAUACGUGAUUUGUUAUAAACCAGGUGAACAUCUCAUUGAUAGUAAAUGACAGUGAAGCUGAAAUCUGCGUGAAAGCGCUUCACCAUGCCUUCUUUGAAAGCGGUGACCUGUCUGAAUUAGUUUUGGAAGGUGGAAUCGGAAAUGGCGCAGCUUCUUUGCCAGUAGAAACUCGAUGAUGCAGCUCUCAGUUGUCCUUUUUAGAGCCAUGCCCACUGGAAUUCCUCGAAAACCUGUGAAUUCUGUGUAUCAUAUUUUCUUUCAUAAAUGAUCCGAAAACUGUUGAUCGUGACUGCCAACUUAUGAGCCAUCACCAUUUGAAUCCCUUAAAAGCUCGUGUGUUGUUUCCAAUGUGUUGGAAAAGCUAUUAGAAAGAUCAAAGAUCAUUUGUGCAACAUACAUAGGGUCUAGGUUUUAAGAAGAAAAGGUAAAAUGGGAAGUUCAAAGCCAAAACAUAAUGGGGAUGAGGUAGAUGAAAUUGACCCAAACCUUAAAACCUUAAAUUUGUUGCCCGUUAGUCCAUUACUAAUUACACAUUACCAUUUCUUAUGACACACCACCUACGUAACCUCUUAUCAACUCGUGUGGUUAGAUAACCAUAUAAGCAAAUACAAUACCUUUUCGAAUACGAAUGUAACUUCUGGACAACUUGGUCAGUAAAGCUCAGUAGUCUUGAGCUUCAACAAUGGUGCAGAGAUUCUUCUCAGUUAGGCAAAUUGACAUCCAACAAAACCACCCAACCAACCCUAUUAUGCUUCUCUCUGGUCCUCCUUCAUGGUACCCACAAUUCCACUCUCCUCUUUCUCCCUCAGCCUCUCUGUUUCUUAUUGCUCUCUCUCUCUCUCUCUCCCUCUCUAUGUUUUCUGCAGUGGAAAAACAUCAUUACUGUUCCAGUUCGCAUUCAACGAAGCCCACAAUAACAAUGGACCAGUCAUCUUUAUCUGCAGCCGGCGCCGGUUAGAGGCAAAACCUCCUUAUCUUUCCCAGGUACAUUUUCUCUCUUUACCUCGUUUUUAUGAUUGUGUCAUGUAAUAUCUUCCAAGUUUUCAAUGGUAAAAUGUUUCAGGGCGUUGAUUCGUCCUGUGAGACCUUUCAGCGCGUAAAAAUGAAGUAAGCUACUGACCCUGGAAAGUUUGGGACCUUCUUGAAUCUUGAUCAUAAUGAUGUAUGCAGCUUCUGAUUAAGUGCUUGUGUAAAUAGGUAUGUGGAUGAUGAUGAAGGGAUUAAGAAGUUCUUUGCUGCAUUCCACCUGUAUGAUGAAUUUCCUGUGUCGGUUGUUAUUGAUGAUUUUGGAGAUUUCUUUGAGGAAAGGUACUUCUUUUUCUUCAUGGACAGAAUCUGUGAUUUUGUGUUGGUCUUUGAUUUGAUUUUUCCGUAUUUUCGAUUCAAGGAGCUGCCAACAGAGAUAUGGCAAUCCAAGGGGAAAAGACAUGGCAAUGGUGAGGACACUAGCUUUGUGUCACAAUGCCAUGGUUCAUGCAAAGUGAGUGGCCUUUUUUCUUUGCUUAUAAUAGGUGACUUAAUUUGCUGUUUCAAUCCCUGUUGUAUGAUUCCAUUUUGAUGGUAGUGAAACAAGGCCUUGCAAGCUUCUGUUAUCAGAUACACACCAUGGAGACUCCCCACGGUUGCUGUUCAUCUACAAACGGUGGGUUUCGACCAUUUUCACGAUUCAAGGUUGGUUUUGCAGUGUGAUAGUUAUGCACUUUAACAAUUGCCUGUUGUAUUGGUGCAUGUGAAGCCUAAAGAACAUUCUCAAAUAAGCUUAUUUUGGUUUGUCUUGUGAAAGGUGAUGGCUGUGGAUCGUUUCUUCUAAAGGACUAUAACCAUUCAGCAAGUGGCAGCUCAAGGAAAAGAAAGACUGCCAAGUACUCCAUAGCUCUCCAGAACCUGGUUUUGGAGAAGAUUGAUGAAGAUGGUGGAUAGUAGGGAUAUCGCAUUUACAAAUUAGUUAAAGGUCAAUAACAACACAAUCACACUGUCAGUGUUCAUAUUCUGUUUCAUGCCCUUUGGUUGUUCUAUAACUUAUAUUAUCACAAUGUUAGUUCUGUACAAAAUCCUUGAACCAUGUGAACUGAUCAGAAUUCCUGGCUAGCAUAACAACGACCCCAGAAACUACAGUUUUCAACUUCUAAUCAUGAUUCUAAUCAUAGUUUUCAACUUCUAGUCAUGAUUCUCAUUGAUUCAUGAUCAAUAUCCCUUAUGUUUCUGAAUUUUUGAAUAUUGACUACUUGCAACUGAUAUAAGAAUUAGUAACUGCUGAAUCUUCCCAAGUAGGCUAUUACAACAAGUUCAGGUACCUUAUUAUUCAGGAAAGUUGUUCAUGGUACACUUCAUAAGUUCCAAGUAGUUACUAUUCACAAAACUAUACAAGUCGGCAAUGAAAGUAAGAAGACAACCGCAAAGGAUCAUGAGCAUCCCUGCUAAUUGUAUCAAUCUAAACAUCUAGUAUACUCCUUUCUGGUACUCCGGCUCGCAAAACUCUCCUCCAAGAUCAUCACAAGCCUCUGCAGGGAAGACCCUGCAACAGUUAUGAGGACAGACUGUUUAUUUACCAUCAUAGAAUAAGUUUAAGAUAGAGUUGGUUCAAGUGUCUAACAUUGUUACUGUGAUCUUACGUUUUGGGGCUGUCAUACUCUAGAUAAUCUCUAUCCUCCCGCUCUUUACCAGGCGUGGCUGCGGUGCUCUUCCCUUGUGGUUCAAGCUUCACCUCAGGAUACAUUUCGACAUCACAAGCUUCUCCUCCGAUCGUUUCACAAGCCUCUGCUGGAAAAACCCUGCAAAAUUCACCAUUAACUUUGCUUCAUGCUUGAUGCAACAAUUAGGAAAAGUAAAAACCAAGGAGAGAACAUCGCUUACGAAGUUGCAUUGGAGCUGUAAUCAACUGUUGAAGGAUCAGAGGUCACGUUGUUGGUUGCCUUGAGCUGGGGGAAUCUCGAAGAUUGUGCCCUUGGAGUAGCUGACCUAAACGGCAAGACCAGGGACUUGGUCGGGGUGGUCGGUGUUAGAAAGGAAAGGAGUGAUGGUGGUGAGAGCUGUAGAGUGGCCUGCAUUGUGAUAAAACUGAUGGUUUCUAUGAGAAACUGGUAUGCUGAUUUUGGAAGAACUGAGUUUAAGAGGCUGUAAUAUAUGAUCAGCUUGACCAGUGACUUGUAUGGAUAAGGCAACAAGAUAUUUUUUCAGUGAGGAUAAGGUUUGUAUAAUUUUCGUUGAAGUAUCUGCCAUUCUGCUGGUGGCAUCAACUUGGAUUUUUCUCCCUACUUAGUGUACUUACUAUCUAUUCCUAAUUGUUCAACUUGGAAAUACUCUAAAGUAGCUUCACUGUGUUCUUAUCGAUGUAUGCUCUUCCAACCAUUUGGGAACUAACUCAAGUUUUUUUCUCGAUAAAAAAAAUAAAUAUAUCCGAUGACAUGAUUUUACAUCAAAGUUAAGGACUAACACACGAUUUUUAAAGAUCAUGUUUUACUUGUAUCAUUGUAGAAUUUCAAUAAAAGAAAGUAUUAACAACAUUUGAUACGUUUUAGCAUGUCAUGGCAUAUCACGAGAGGGCACUGAACAACAUGCUUGGUACAAGCAUCAUCCAAAUUCUUUUUCACCGUGAACUCCAUUUAGAGAAGGGAGUGAAAGAGGACUCCAAUGUGACAGGAAUUGAGUUCACAAAGAAGAAGAAUAAAGCCUCCUUGUAUAACUAAAAGCACACUUCCGGUUCCGGACUUCCAUACUACUGUUUUCUUGAAGAUCUAGCUAUACGAAAAAAAACACAAGGACUAGCACAAGGUCAUUACAAAACUUUGUGCAGUGGUGUCACCGUUUUUACUUCAUUGCAAAACUUUGUUCAUCAAGUCAAUUUUAUCCUCGAAUAUUGAGGGACAUGAACUGGGGUCAAAAUAGUUACAGUAAUUUUCAGUUCCAUAAUUCCAUUUUCACAUGUCGACUCUGAAUUUGUAUGACUAAUAAGAAGCAACAGACCAGGAAAACAAAUUAAAAAAAAAAAGAGGAGACUAAUAAGAAGCCAAGAACACCAGUCACACUCACACCAGCAAUACUUGGCAUCAUGGCAAUGGGGUCAAAAGCAUGGCAGCAUUCACAGCUGGAAGUGGUUACCUCAUCUCUUUUUUACUCCCCUCAUGCUUUUUAACCCCCUUUUUCCCCAAGCAUGCUAAGCUUUGGCCCCAGAGGCAUGAGCUGCCUGGUUCCUCAAUUACCAGGGCCACCACAUACUUUUCCCUCCAGACUUUUCCUGGUACAGUCACAUGUAGCGUUUGAUUCAUUUGACGAUACUUUAGGCAAAGACAAACUAUAUUAAUACUGCCUUCCACAACAGAAUCAUGAGGAUCACAGCAAGAAAGUGAAAAAGAGAUUUGCAAAGAUGAUUAUGAAUCACAUAAGUAGAGGGUUAUCAAAAGAACUGAGAUGCUCGUGUGGAAGUCAUAGCUAGUGAUGAAAAAUGAAGCAGUUAGAAACAUAAGAAGCUGGAUGCUAUGCUUUAGAAGUUGUGCAUCUACACAGAGUAAUGGUGACUGCGGCAGAAGUGUGGUGAAUCAUCUAAUCUCGGGUUAAAAGGGCCCGGAUUUGAAAAGUUUUGUCCGGAAAAAGCCACCGGAUAAACCCUACCAUCAUUAGGAGGUGAAAACACAAUAAUGGAGAAGCGUCCCACAUGGGUUCAUUUGGUCAUUCUUAAUCUAAAGUUGAAAGUGUCCUCGACUGACUUGCAGCUUCUUCACUCACAGCUAAUAUACACAUGCUACACCAGGAAGCAUACAAUUUCUAAAAGAAAUGUGCAGAUUUCGGACCAAAACCUGAAGCAAAUAUUUCUGGAGUCUAAUUCCCCCAAAAUCUUCAGAAACAGGAGCUUCAAUUGAAGUACUUACAUUUGCUUUAAAAACUGUGCAGUUGGGUUAGCAUGUGAACAAGUUCAUCACUUGAGGGUCUUUCUGCUGGCACAUCUGAUAAGCAUACGACAGCAAUUCUCACCGCCAUUAGCAUUUCGUCUUCCUCUCCUUCUUCCCCAAUAAGGCUCUUAUCUAAUGCUUCCUUUGCCUCCCCUGCAUGCUGCAAGUGCCGCAACCACCGUCCUAAACUUCCUCCACUAGAUGUUUCCCCAAAGAAGGGAUCAGUUGGGUCUCUACCAGUUAAUAAAACUCCCAAUAUCAUCCCAAAACUGAAAAUGUCACUCUUAUCAGUGUACCUGUUGAAAUAGAAUAUACACGACUUCAGUAAAAGAGCAUAUCUGAUUCAAUAGAGAACGCCUCAAUUUAAUUGGUUUCUCCAUCCAACUAUCAAUGGGUAAAUCUUCAUUAAGAAGAGGAAUGUUCCUUCAUAAUUAGCAAUUUAGCACACUAAAACCCAGGAAGUUCAUAAAUGUAGUAUGAUGAAAGUUGCAAAGCAGCUAAGCUCUUACAUAGCAUGAUAAACUGCUACAAACAAACCACAGCCCCAAGUUUUAGAAGGCCUAGAAUCCUCACAAAUUAUAAAAUUCAUUGUGAACCUGAAGUUAUGCAAUUGAUAUUGACUUAUUGAGAAAAAUAUUUAUCAGAAGAUAGCAGUCUGUUCUCCAGCACAAAGUACAACAAACAUAAAGCACGUAAAAGUAAGAGGGGUUUCAAUCCUGAGCUAUCUAAAUUUAUCCCCUAACUUCAACCUCCCAUCAACAUUGUGAGAAGUGGAAUACCAAACUCUUGCAAGUAUUCUAAAAGCAAAGAACCUGGUGGGAGAUAGGGACACAUGUUAUCAGAAAGACUUAUAUCUCCAGUCCUAAACCCCAAUUACUACUAUCGCAUAGAUAUAUCAGCACACGGAACAAAUUUGCACAGGAAUUGUAGAGAACAUUAAAAUUACCAACUUUGGGACAUUCAGAGUUCGAAGAGUGUACCUGUCAUUCUGGAAACACUCUGGAGCAGUGUAACCAGAUAAUGCCCCAUCCAAAUGGGGAGUGAGCUUAGCCAACCCAUAAUCACCCAACCUCGGUUCAAAUUCAGCAUCCAACAUAACAUUUCUCGGCUUCAAAUUGUGAUGCAUAAUCUGAGGCACAUAUGCAUGAAGAUACUGAAGCCCCUUAAUCACCCCAACUGCAAUCCGAAGCCGAACCUCCCAGCUGAGCUGCAGCUGAUUCUCCCUAACUCUAUUCAUAGCAUCCUCCAGGCUCCCAUUGGGCACAAAAUCAUAAACCAAAGAGAACCUAUCGUGCUCGCGAACAUAAGCCCUCAAGCUCAUCAAAUGCCUAUGUCUGAGGCCAGCAAGCACUUCCAGCUCCUGCUGUAUCCUUCUCUUGGCCGACUUGCUCUGCGCCUUGGGGGAGCCACACUCCGAAAAGGGCUCCAGCUGCUUCACCGCAAUAAUGAGGCCAUUGUCAAGCACAGUCCUGUAGUACUUCCCAAUGGGGCUGGAACCAAGCAGCUGGUUCUCAUUGGCCAGUGCCAAUUGGAGCGUUUUCGGAGCGAUUUUGGGGGAGAAAAUCACAGGGCCCUUGAGAAUUGGGGCUCUGCUAAUGUAGCGAACAAAGCAGCGGACUAUGAAAGCUGAGAUGAGGGCUAAUAUGAGUCCAGUCAAUACUCCCAGCACAAGACUAAGUAGGAUUCUUUCAAGGUUGUUGUUCUUGGAGCGAGGGUGCUUCGACGGCGAUGGAGGCUCAGUUUCUUGGCACUGAACAGUUGAGCAGAACAAGACUAGCAAAAGCAGAAGCAGAAGCAGGCUUGUGACUCUACACUUCAAAUUAGAAGUACUUGUUCCUCUACCCAUUUGGAGUCAAAAACAAAAGCCAAAAAUCUCUCAAAAGUAAGCAACUUCACUAAAAGCUAAACUAAAACCCACAUGUUAUAGAGCUUGAAGCUCUACACAAAUAAAACCCAGAUGAAAAUGAACACCACCACCACUAAAGCUCUCAACUUUUCUCUCUUAGACAAAAAAAGGGGAAAUCUUUGGGGUUGGUUCUUUCAAGGCUUUAGCCUAGGAGGCGCAGAAAAUGCAAACCAAUCCACAAGUGCUUAAAAGUGCAGAGAGAACCCAUGAGAGACAGAAGCUUCAAGGGAGACUUGAAAUAAGGGAAUAUCACACAAAAAUGGAAUUUUUUUUUCUGGAAAAGAAUCAUAUUUCGUCACCUAUUCGCAUCUCCAAAAAACCCAUCAUCAUCUACACUCGUUCUUUCUCACUCUUUCACCAUAUCAACAAAAAUACCAAGUACCAAAAACCAAAAAUGGUCGCCAAAACUAAGAAAGAAAAAGGAGAGUAAAGCUCCAAAACUCGCCGAGGUCUUAAACCCACACUAUUAUUGUUCGAAAUACAGACAAACAAAAAAUGAAAAAUCCCUAAACACAAACGAACACACUCUCUGUCUCUCUCCUCUGUUGUUUUUACUCUCUCUCGCAUGAGAAGUGAGAACUGGGCUUCCCGCCUUUGGGACACUACCAGAGCCCCGUACUGAAGUGGGGCCCAGUUGCCACGUUGGCACAGUGUCGCUAUCACGAGGCCGAAAGCGAAACAUCGAACUGCGUGCGAGACAAGGAGAGGGAGGAGUCGACAUCCCACCGUUGGUUUUGGGGUGCGGGAAGAGAUCGUGGCCGUGGAGAGAGAACCAAUGUAGGAAUUUAUUCUGGUUUUGUUGAAUGGAUAUUGGGGGGUUAAGAAAUUGAUAAGUGGAAAUGGAAUAAUCUUUUUACAGGUUUGCUGGGUUCCCUCCAUGGUUAUCUAAUACUCGAGACCAGUGAAAGACCUAACACGCGUGCACGUGUGAGGUGUGACCAAGGUUUUUCACCCAUUGCUAUAGGAUCCUAUUUCAACAAUAAAAACCCUAAAUUACUAUUCAAAAUAUGAACUAUAAACCCAAGUACCCAACGAAUUCUUCAAAAUGUCUUAGGAAGCUGUUCACUCUAGCUCAUGAUAUUCAAGUUUUGGCUAACCAUUUCACUUCAAUCAGCUACACUCAUAUCUGGAGAGAAGAAAACUUUGUCGCGUCAAUUUUGGUCACCAUGUUGGAACUGCCAGUUGGAUUGAUACACUACCAUCUGCUGCUCAAAAUGUUUUUCGCUUUGAUUUUCUUAACUUAUGUUUUAAAUGUUUUUGUUUGUAAUUUAUUUCUUUUAUAAAAAAGAAAAAAAACGAAUUCUCUAAAAUUUUUGUGUUUUUUCUUUUGUAUAGACUAUUGACGUGUUGAAAAGCUCAUUUUAAACACCGAGUUGUUUUGAUAUAUGAUUAAAAUGCACACACAUGAUUGCCCAGGACUUACCACGUGAAUUGUACGCAUGUCCUCCUACCUACGAAUUUCUCGUAUUGCUGAUCCUUGUGCAAGUUGAAUCUACUCCCUUCGAGCAAGUUGUCUUUGCUUUCAAUUGUACAAUGUUUUUAGAAAUUUCGAGCAUUCUGUGUCGGGAUUCAUUUGUGCAAAAGUAUGCGAAGUGCCUUUUAGGAAGCACAAGCACAUCCUAGUACAUAAAAAAUCGCUAUAGAGCACUUGUAAUUGUUUUUGUCAAAUGCUAUCACAGUGACUCAGAUAGAUAAGAUUAUAACUAGAUAGUUUAGAAGUGUUAUGAUCGAUUUCAGAAAGCACCAAUUCCAUAUGGAGAGAUUCAUAGCUUCCGUUUUUUUGUCCAUGAAUGAGGAGAGCGUAUUCAGCGCACCCGUCCAUCUCCGCCGUCCAUUUGACGCUAACUUUUGACUUUUUCAAAAUGGACGGCGGAGAUGGACGGGUGCGCUGUAUAAUUUUCGAUGAAUGAGAGAACAAACUCAUUUUUAGCAAGUGAGUGAAGACUAACACUAUCACUAUCACCAUCACCAUCUUCCCAAUUUUGAAAACAAAUUGCCGAAAGAGAGUACCAUUUGACUUGCAGGGAAACAAAGCAUACCAACCACGCGAUAGUCUGCUUGCUACAUUUGAAUGAUAAGCCAAGAACGUAACAUCACAGGAUUCACAUCUUGACUUGGCAGAGAUGUCACUGCAGACAUUUCAUUGAUUCAUUUUGUUGUCUAGUUCGCAGUUGGUAGGACUUCAGAAUUGAAUUCCUUUGCCUUGUAUAUGAACAGUGAUUUUUCUCUUCGAUUGUGCAAACGUGAUGAAGAAUACCAAAAUUAAAAAAAUGGUAGACAGAGUUGAUCGUUUGUGCAUUCAAACACAGCCAGGAAAAAGAAAAAAAGGAAAAAGCUUCACUAAAACAAAUAAUGUACAAAUACACAAAGGCCUAAACUAAAUCACAAAGGAAGCAGAAAACUGAACAAACAAAAGACAACACCAUUACAGGCCCCUUGCCUGAAAGCUACCGGAGGCUUUCCACUCAGACAACCAGAGCCAUCUUAAUUUCCAACCCUUGACAACCAUUUUCAAGUAUGCCCUUACCAUUUUCAAGUAUGCUCUCAUUGCCCAUAGGGCAGGCAUGCCAUCCUACCACUCUAGACACCCAUAAAACACUAACAUUUCAUACAAAGGAGAACCAUCUCUCAAGUUUAUGAACUAUAAUUAUACAAAUGCAAUACCUCUGUUUCAUUCGAUGGGACCAUUCAGCAUCAAUGUAGUUUCCAUUUGGGUGGUUCCUAAUUUGAUUACUUAUCCACGGGAGUCCGAUAAUAUAGAAAGGACCUCGCCAUCAUCAAAGUUUGACUCCACUGCCAGCUCAAGAGGGGUUUUACCUUCCCCAUUUAGUGCUCGUGGAUCCGCUCCCCU